GGGGGGGACAUGUCAACUUGAUCAGACGGGAUGAAUAAAAAAGAAGACAUAAUACUAAAAAUUAGAUUGAUGCUUUACACCAAUUUGCAAAUGCUUAUAAUGAACAUAAAUUAAAUAAUAAUAUAAUUGGAAGGGUUCUGCAAAGUUGUUCCACCAGAUUUAAAAGUAUAUAUAAAUUUAGACUGCCACUGGAAAAAAAUAGUUUAAUG
rnacentral:lncRNA from 1 species